UUGGUUUCCUUUGUCAUUUUAAAUGUAUGAUCACAAGGGGAAAAAAUGGUCUUACUAUUACGAUUAACGCAUCAACAUCUUCUUAAUUUUCAAAUACUGUGCGUAAGCGAAUUGAGAGAUUCAGAACAGCAACACAGAGGUUUCGAUCCGUGCAGAUGGCAAUGCAAACUAAAAUAUUUCCGGUGAUAGCGAUCAAAAUAAAGAUGGCUAAGAUUACGGCGAUCGGCACUUGGACGAGCAGGGAAUGAUUCGCACUAGUAGGAACGGCCUGGUUAUUUGAUACCAAAACAUCGUGCGAGAAGUUGGAAAUCCGGUUCUCCAUAAAGUUUACCGGAUAUCACGCGGAACGUCGCUAAAAGCUGGUCGAUCGGGCUGCACAGAAGCGUCCUCCUUCCGUGGAACUUAUUCCCGCGCGUCCGAUACAACACACACUGUGGAUAAUGAGGGGGUUUUUUCGUCCACACAACCGGAAGAUUCUUCCCGGCAUUGUCAAUAUUAAAAGGCCAACUUUGAUAAAUUAAUCAUCUUUCAAACUCUUGAUUAUACAGACCCAGAAUUACAGUCGGCUUCCAAUUGUGCAGCAAGAGAGCAGCGAGACAGUUGUUAAAAUUUGUUUAUAAACUAUUAAUCAUCUGCCAUGAAGUGCAAGGCCAUAC